GCAGACGGUCGCGCGGCCGCGUCUUUCAAUUGAAAGAUGAGGAAAGUCCGGACUCCAAAGAGUAAGGCGCUGGAUAACGUCCAGGCACGGAAAGGUUUCGAACAGAAAUUCACCGUGGCGGAAAGGACAACAGAAAAUAUACCGCCUGAAUUCCUUGUGAACUCAGGUAAGGGUGAAAUGGUGCGGUAAGAGCGCACCGGUUCGAAAGCGAUUUCGAACGCAAGGCAACCCCCGCCCGGAGCAAGGUCAUGUAGUCGGCGUAUUCCGAAAGGAAAGGGAAUUGCUCGUUCCCUUCAAGCUGAGGGUAGACUGCUAGAAUCCGAAGGCAACUUCGGAUCCAGAGUGAUGUCCGCGCGGAAACUGAUUUUUUAAUCAGUCUCCGACAGAAUCCGGCUUAUAGGCCGUCUGCAUCU
rnacentral:RNase_P_RNA from 4 species